AAUCAUCCCAUCGACUCUUGCCCAAGCACUAAGAGUCAGCUCUCAUUGAGGCCUCUCCCAUAGUUUGGAUCAGGAAGUAUCAUAACGUUCACCAUAGGGUUCUGCCUCCUCACUUUGAUGUCACUAGCUCAAUGAUGAGAGCACUGCCAGGCACUUAUGUUCGACUUGAGGACCACUAAAGGGCUAGGAAUCCAUAAUUAGGUGAGAAUGCUCG
rnacentral:lncRNA from 1 species